AGGAAUUCUUCCCAUCCUUCUACAAAGCAAUUUCAUUCUCCUGCAAUUCCAAUCUCCUUCUCCAAAGCAAUUCUUCCAAUCUUUCUCCAAAUUUCUCCAAAGCAAUUUCAAUCUCCUCAAUUCCAAUCUCCUUCUCCAAGGCAAUUCUUCCAAUCUUUCUCCAAAGCAAUUCCAAUCUCCUGCAAUUCCAAAGAAUUUUAUCUAUUCUUUUCAAACUCACCAUUUUGCACCAAAUUUCCUCUCCAAGUUUGACAACAAACAAGGAAAGCACCUAUUUUUUUACGAAUCUACUGGCAUAACACUCAAAUCCCUCGCCCAGUGUGCGCGCAUGAGUUUUGGAAAGCUGUUGCUACUGUUGUCGUAAGUCGGGCUGUGUGGGUUGGGGGAGGAGGCCGUCGACGGCGGCGACCCUCGUUGCAGUCGAUCGACGAUAGGGCUGAGGCUGUGAGGGUGUUGAGCCGUGAACAUAGGGAUCGGCGGCGGCGGUGGCCUAUUAGCUGUUGCUGCUUGCGGGUUAGACGGGAUAGAAGGGUUAGGUGAGAGGGAGACCGAGGAGGCGGCGAUGGCGACAGUCCGGCUGAAGCAGAGAGGCGAUGGUUCCGACGGUUAUCUCGUCGGAAAUCGUAGUGGAGAGAAGCUAGGGUUUCUAAAAUUGGGGAUUUUGGCGAAGAGGUGGAGGUGGGUAGAGAUGAGGGCGGUGGUGGUGAUGACCACAACUGGUUGUAGGAGGAGCGGCGGCGGCCACUCUUCGCCGUCGGCCGUUCGACUGAGGAAAGAGAGAGAGGGCGCAGCCGCGCAGGGGAGGAGAGAAGCAGAGGAGGGAGAGAAGAUGAAGGAGAGUGGAAGGGUAAAAAUGUCUUUUCAAUUUUAAUCUACUUUACUAUUGGAGUUGGGGUUGCUUAUCUCAGGGUGGGGGUGAUAUUUGUAAACUAAAUGUAACAGUUGUUUUUUUGCGGGCCUUAGUUUUAGUGCGGGCUUGAGAUAUUAUUUAUGUUGCCUAUCAAACACAAGAUAACUAAGUUAUCAGCCCUAAUAUGCCCUAUCAAACGGGCUCUAUAUAUAUAGUACUACUACCAUAUAAUAUAGUGUUAAUAAGGUGAG
rnacentral:lncRNA from 1 species